rnacentral:lncRNA from 1 species
CACGGAUUCUGGUAUCAUCGGUGAUAGUCUGGUUAUCAUCGAGAGGUACAUUGAGAUCAGCUCUCACGAAAACCUUCUUCCCCUUUAAAUCAGCUGAGGUCAGAUCUCCGACGCUCUUCUUCGCCAUAGAAACCACUCCUUUGCUCCCCUUCCCCCGCACUGAUUCAACCUUGGAAGCAACGUGGAGGGAGAAACGACGGGAAUCGAGAGUGGCGGAGAAGCCAAGAGGACGCGCGGAUACAGAGGUAGAGGGAAUUGGCAAGAGAGAGGCGCGUGCACGAGUUGCGUCGGAGGAAGCUACGCCGCCGGUGGACUUAAAGAAGGAAAAGGCGCGACUUGCGGCGGUUGAAGCCAUGUGGAUCAAAGGAGAUAAAAUGGAUUAGGAGAUGAGAAACAGAGA